CACCCCUAGUUAAAAUGUAAUGUGCUGUUCUAUGGAGGUAGAAAUACAUUUUCAAGAUAAAAGGCUAAAUACAUUGUUUGAAGAUAACUUAAGCGUUUCACUCAUGACUGAAAAAUUACAACUCUAGCAAAAUGCCUUAACAACAUUAAAUGUUAGAAAUCAUUCUACAAAACACGGUUAAUAUUAGUUACGUCUUUAAUAGCAGAUUAUAGAGUAAAACUAAUCUAAAUAUGUGACAUAUCAAUACUCAAAUGCAUGCCCUGAGUUUCUGAUGGCUUAUUAAUCUUUGCAUUUAUCAGCAAACUGACAUGAUGACAGUGUGUGUUUUAAUACCAUUUUAACAUAUUUCAUGUGAAAUAAAUGAGUCAUAUGGAGACAAAACCAAAACACUUUUUUUUAACAACAAAUUGAAAUUCCUGGAAACUGAGAAUAAAAUAAAAAAUCUUAUUGAAUCUGUAUCUGACCUCACAGGAUGUGAGGAUUUGUGACAUCCAGUACAAAUAGUAACUUUAGUAACUUGAUACUGCUAGAAAACACAUUCAUGCCGGUUAGACGACAGAUCUGGGACGCAUAAGCCAAACCACAAUCGGGCCAGAUGUGGCAUGCCAUCACAUAAACAGUGCCAUCAUUGCCAGACCUGGCCCACAUCUGGUUGACAUACCCCUUACCAUGCCAGUCAGCCAGCAGUGUCUGGCUUCACACUAGAGCCGGGCCAGACCUGUCUGUUACGUGGGAUUGUCUAUAAAAACAGAAUACUGUCACCUUGGACUGAAAAUAUGCAGUUUGCAUUUUCACUUGUUCUUCUGGCAGUUGCAAACUUAAAAGGGAUUCUUGCAAAUCUGGUAAAAAACUAAACAAAACCAUAAGCCCACCCCAGUGCAUGCUGGUCCUAUACCAGUCCCUUUACUUAAAGUUAAUGACCUUGCAGUUCUUCCUGGCUGACUUCCAAAGAUAAAUAACAAAACAAAGAAUUAAGCAAUUAUUAACCUACAAAUAAAACGUGUAAAUAUCCCAAAAUAGGUCAACCAAGAAAAAAUUGUGACAGUAUGCAGUUGGAGUGAUUUUAGAGAGUAUCGUCUUGUUGAUGGUUAUCAUUCUAUUAUUCGUAGGACUGGCUUCCCACCCUGAGGUAUCACCGAGUUGACUUUAAAAUGUGGAGUUUCUGUGGGGUUUUUUUUUUUGUGUGUGUGUGUUUGUUUAGUUUAAUCCAAAAUGUGUUUUAGAAGACACAGUAUUGUUUGUAAUAAUAUUUUUAAUAUUACUUUGUUUUUGUUGUGCAGCUAGUUGAAGAGCUGAAGAAGGAAUACCUGAGGCUUUUGCCGCUGACGGAAAGCAGCAAAGAGUUGCUCGACGAUUUACAGACAGAUUUGGAGUGUUGUGGACUUCAGGGCUACCAGGACUGGAAGUCCAACAUCCCAAAAUCCUACCUUUGUGCCAAAGAGUCCACUAAUCUGUGUGUGGAAACUCUUGGAGGCAGCUGGGAGGAAAAUCAGACUGUUAUGAUUUAUGAACAGGGAUGCCUUACGUACCUUGUUGAAAUCCUCAUGCAUGGAUUUAAGAUUUUUUUGGGCACGUUACUGGGAUUUUUAUUAUUGUGGAUGUAGUCCCUCGUGUUGUGUAGAGCCAUCUUGUGCCAGCUGAAUCGAAACAGAGAAACCUCGGUAGUGAACUAAGGUGCAGAAGCAAAAGCAGGCAACUGCACCACCCUCACAGAGCCUCCAGACCACUUCCGAUGUCUUUGCUAGUUCUGAUGCUUCCAGCAGCGAUGGCCAUUAUUUAAGCAUGCUAAAUAAUAAAUAUAUUUAUGAUAAUUGGUUAUAUUGAAUAUAUCAUAUCCUACAACUGCAUUAUGGACUGCUUUAUUAUGACUUUCUGAAUUUCAACUCAGUUGAUUGAGAUUAUUGAUCUGGGAUAUCAACACUGAGUGAAAAUGCACUGUUUAAAGCUAAUAUAACUAAACAUAUAUCGAAAACAAACUGAAUAUCAUGUGUGAAUUGUUUUAAUACUUGAUGAUUCGGUAGUUUUUAAUUUUUUUAUACUGUGUAAAAUUUGGUUUGUCGAUGUUUUGUUGGGUUUUUUUUGUUUUUUGUUUUUGUUUUUUACUUUUUU